UAAGGAAUAUUGGUCAAUGGGGGCAACCCUGAACCAGCCAUGCCGCGUGCAGGAUGAAGGCCCUAUGGGUCGUAAACUGCUUUUAUACCGGAGAAAACCCGAGUACGUGUACUCGGUUGAUAGUAUGGUAAGAAUAAGCAUCGGCUAACUUCGUGCCAGCAGCCGCGGUAAGACGAAGGAUGCAAGCGUUAUCCGGAUUCAUUGGGUUUAAAGGGUGCGUAGGCGGACUUGUAAGUCAGUGGUGAAAUCUCUUUGCUUAACAAAGAAACUGCCAUUGAUACUGCAGGUCUAGAGUAUAGAUGACGUUGGCGGAAUAUGACAUGUAGUGGUGAAAUACUUAGAUAUGUCAUAGAACACCGAUUGCGAAGGCAGCUAACGAAACUAUAACUGACGCUGAGGCACGAAAGUGCGGGGAUCAAACAGGAUUAGAUACCCCUGUAGUCCCUGAGCGGGCUGGCAAGGCGCAU
rnacentral:rRNA from 1 species